UACGGGGGGUGCGAGCGUUGUCCGGAAUCACUGGGCGUAAAGGGCGCGUAGGUGGUUUGAUAAGGGUGUGGUGAAAGCCCGGAGCUCAACCCCGGGUCUGCCGUGCCGACUGUCAAACUCGAGGGCUGUAGAGGCAGACGGAAUUCCGGGUGUAGCGGUGGAAUGCGUAGAGAUCCGGAGGAAGACCGGUGGCGAAGGCGGUCUGCUGGGCAGUUUCUGACACUGAUGCGCGACAGCGUGGGGAGCAAACAGG
rnacentral:rRNA from 1 species